rnacentral:rRNA from 1 species
CAACAGGGAUUGCCUCAGUAACGGCGAGUGAAGCGGCAUAAGCUCAAAUUUGAANUCUGGCUCUUUCAGGNUCCGAGUUGUAAUUUGUAGAAGAUGUUUCGGGUGUGGCCCCGGUCUAAGUUCCUUGGAACAGGACGUCAUAGAGGGUGAGAAUCCCGUAUGUGACUGGGUGCCUAUGCCCAUGUGAACCUCUUUCGACGAGUCGAGUUGUUUGGGAAUGCAGCUCAAAAUGGGUGGUAAAUUUCAUCUAAAGCUAAAUAUUGGCCAGAGACCGAUAGCGCACAAGUAGAGUGAUCGAAAGAUGAAAAGCACUUUGGAAAGAGAGUUAAACAGUACGUGAAAUUGUUGAAAGGGAAGCGCUUGCAAUCAGACUUGCGCCUGGGCGAUCAUCCAGGGUUCUCCCCGGUGCGCUCGUUCAGGCUCAGGCCAGCAUCGGUUUCUGUGGUGGGAUAAAGGCCCUAGGAAUGUGGCCCCUCUCGGGGGGUGUUAUAGCCUAGGGUGCAAUGCCGCCUACGGGGACCGAGGACCGCGCUUCGGCUAGGAUGCUGGCGUAAUGGUUGUAAGCGACC